AAUCGUCGACUGCUCGCGCUCAAAGAGAGUUAGGGACGCGCACGAGAGUAACGGAGGACACCGGCAUAGUAUCACAUUCGUUGGUUGAGGAUAGUGAAUUUUGCGGAUAUGUGAACCAUGCCUUCUUGUCGAUUAAAUAGGAGUUGACAGAGACGUAUGGUUUCUGGAUAAUUGGAGAUUUUUUUAACCAACUUAUUUUGUUUAGGGGACUUCACGUCGUUUACGCUGCGGAGGAGACAGAUAAGCCGUUGAAGGAGACAGGUGUUCUCCCCGCGUCAUCGAGCAUUGCUCCCCAGCGUUCUUACAUUUCCUAUUUUAAACAGUUCUUUAUUCAACUUUUUUGUAAAUUUUUAAACGGGACAGCUUCGAGUCAUGCGGUGGACAGCCGGACUCGUAUUGCUACUAUGCUGGGGAUCAUCGAGCAGUCAGCCACAGCGGGAUUCACCUGAGGAUGACUCUUUCCGUAGCCAAGCGAACUCCUCAAGACAGCGGUCCCCGCCACCUGUGCAGGCCCUAGACUUUGGUUUCGUGCCGUCAGCCGUGUAUGAAACACACGCUUAUUAUGAGCCCGGUACCAUUGGAAUUCUGUUCCACAUGGUACAUGCGUUCCUCUACGUGGUCCAACCGAACCCCUUUCCUAAAGAUCUGAUCGUUAGAGUCAUUCAGCAGAACAUGGGAGGCAUCAAAAUAGAGGAGUGGAGGAAGCCAGACAAUGUGGUCCUGUUACUCCAGGCCAUCUACUAUGAGAUGGGCUUCAUCGUGUGUGUGUGCGCGGGGUGUGUGUUUGUGCUGCUGAUGCCCAUCGUGGGGAUGUGCUUCUGUGUGUGUCGCUGCUGUGAGAACUGCGGCGGCGAGAUGCACCAACGCCAGAGGAAAAACAUUGACUGCCAGCGAGGGUUCUUCACCACCGCGCUCGUCGCCACUUCCAUCUUCAUCACGGUGGGAGUUCUGUUUGCGUACGCUGCAAAUCACAACAUCAGCUCCCAGAUCAAGAGUACCAGACGUCUUAUCAACGCCAACAUGAGAGACCUGAAGACCUUUGCCAACAACACCCCUGCACAAAUUGACUACUUGACAGCCCAGUAUUCUACUGCCAAGAACAAAGUCCUUUCAGACAUGGAUAACAUUGGGCCGUUGCUGGGAGGGAGGAUUCAAUCACAGCUGGAGAAAGAGGUGGUGCCAUCUCUGGAUAGCGCCCUCCGCAUGGCUGGAGUGAAAGUGGAGAGUGCAAUCAAAGCCAUGCGGGAGACCAAGGAGGGCCUGGAGACGGUCAGCUCCUCUCUGGAGGUGCUCCAUGAGGGGACGGCCCGCUUGCAGGCCAGCCUGGCCGGGGAGCGCUCCUCCCUGUCCAACACCCUGUCGGACCCUGCCUGCACCAACGGAGCCGUGUCUCACACCUGCAACACCAUCCGCUCUACACUCACACAGCUGGGGAUCAACGCCGACUUCACCGGGCUUCCUGAUGUGGUCGAUCAGCUGGACAGUCUGGAUGCCUUACUGAAGACAGACCUCAGCAACAUCGUCCAGAGGGGCUACUCAUCCUUCAAUGACACUCCCAGACUGGUGAAAGAGCAAACCAAGGAAGUGGUGGCAGCAUUGCCUCGAGUAAAGGGAAUGCUGGAUAAGAUUGGAGGAGAGAUUAUUGGCUUUUCCAAGAUGUUCCCAGUGGAGCCAUCUCUGGCUAACUUCACCAUCUUCCUGGGUCAGGGCCAAAAGAACAUCGAGUCCUACUACCCCCAGAUCGACCAGCUAGAUUUCUACAGGUGGAUAGGCUGCGUGACUGUUCUGUGUACAGUGGUUCUGAUCCUGGCUUUCAACUUCCUGGGUCUGCUGUGUGGCACCUGUGGCUACGACAAACAGGCCACGCCCACCACCCGUGGCUGCCUCUCCAACACUGGGGGCAACCUGCUCAUGGCAGGGGUAGGGUUCACCUUCAUCUUUGCCUGGGUGCUGAUGGGAGUUGUAGCUGCUGGUUUCCUGGUCGGGGGAAACGUGGAGAAGUUGGUUUGCGAGCCUUUGGCUAACAAGCAACUGUUUAAGAUCCUAGACACUCCUUACAUGGUUCACCCAUCCAAGAAGAACUUCCUCCCUGGAAUGCUUUUCCAGAAUCCCAACAUCGACCUCACUGUAGGAAGCAUGUACCGGGAGUGUGUGAAAAACAACGGUCUGUAUCAUGCUCUGCAGCUGGAAACCAUGUUCAACAUCAACAGCUUCCUAAACAGGACUGUGUACAACAAGGACCUGAGCAAAGUGUUUGAGGGUGUGAAGAUAGACCUGCAGAGUAUUCAGCUGCUGGAUCCGGAGGGAAGAGACAACCUUAUCAACUUUGCCAACACUGGAGUGGGAGAGAUCAACUUUGCAGCCUACCUGGCUGAGGUGAACAAGGGCGUGACUCUGGUGGAUCUCUUGUCCUUCUGCAACGAGCUUGAGGCUCAGGCUGACCAACUGCCACGAGGAGCUCUGGAGAACGCACUGAAGGGCCAUGCCAGCAAUAUCAGACAGAUUCACAAAGAACAGGUUGUCCCAAUGGAGCAAGCAGUGAAAUUUGUGAGAGCUCGGAGUAGCCUCAGCUCAAGCAUCCGCUUACUGCAGAGAACAUCUAGAGAACUACCGACCAAAGUCACAAAUGUCCUGAGUGCUAUCGACGCAGCCGAAUACCUCAUAACCCAGAAUGCAUCACACGUGGUCAAGCAGGAAACAGACGCCUAUAUACAGACUUUGGUGGGCUACUUCAAACAGUACACCACUUGGGUGAAGAACUCUCUGACGGGGGAAGUGGCUCAAUGUAAACCCAUCAGUAACCUGGUCGACUCCAUGGAGAUAGUGGCCUGCAGCUUCAUAGUGGACUCAGUGAACACGUUCUGGUUCGGUCUGGGAUGCUGCUGUAUCUUCCUCAUCCCCAGCACCAUCUUUUCUGUAAAACUGGCCAAGUACUACCGGAGGAUGGACACAGAGGAUGUCUUUGAGGAUUCCUCUUACCCCUGGCUUGUUGCACUCUGACACCUCAGUCCUUCAUGUCUCUGAGUUGUUUUCCGUCUUGCUAAACCCCUCACAGGUGCAACACACCUUUUUUAUAUUUCCCAGGGGUGUCUCUCCAAAUCUCGUGCUCUUUAUCCUUCAUGCCCCGAACACACACACCGGAAUCCAUCGCUGUCUCCGUGCUUUCACGCUUUCUCGUUCUUCUUCUUCUCUCGCCUCAUUGUCCUGUUACAUCGGUUUCUGAAUCCAUCUGAGGAUCUGUCCAUACUUGUCGUUCACCAAGAAGAGCUCACCUUCUGUCUUUCCCAGUUGACCUCCUGUGCACCUUCAUUUUUUGUGUUGCAGUAUGGUUAUAACAGGUUACCAUGGAGAGCAGGUAUUUGGUAUCCAUGGCAACCCAGCCAUGUUCAGGUAUGCACCAGAAAUCUUUCAAUACUGCAUGGCUUCCUGAACGCUAGCGACUGGUGAAGGGGUACUGAAGGUGUAUACGUGUCUGUCUCCGUGACUAUUGUACUCGUCACUAUGAGUUGCUAAACACAGGACGUUUGGCAUGAUGUAGUCAUUGGUGCAUGAGAAGAGUUCAAGAGAAGAAGACUGGAGGUAUAAUCAGAAGCCCCUGUUUAUGUGUGUGUGUAUGUGUGUGUGAGGGUGUGUGUGUGUCUGCGGUAGUUGCCCAUCCUACAACACCCUGACUCGCUUCCCCCGAGCCUCUGCCCCUCCACAGUAUCCUGACUGGUGACACUGAGGAGGGCUCUCACCACCAGAGAGCGGCCAAGAGAACUGGAACUGACGUAGCCCUGACAGUAGGUGAAGUUCAACCUGACCCAGAAAGUACAUCUCUCACCCUCACGACCCGCAUCCUGUGACACAAAUGUUUCUCCUCUUUUCCAGGUGAACCAGAACUCCCUUCCCAACAAGCGACACAGAAAGGGGAGGGGCAGCACACCAAAGGGGGGCAAGAAUCAUUGUACUGAGAGGGCUCCUGUCCUGACCCCUGACCCCAACCUUCACUCCAUUAGACAAGGGUGUUGGUGAUCAGCCAAUUAGAAUCAUUCAAAUGACCCCUCUCCCUGCACAACCACCACCACACAUUCUAGUAAUCAAUCACAGCAUUAGCAUUUUAAACAUUUCAGAUGAUCAGUCUGUUUCAUUGGACAGUAUUCCUGAUGAAUGAGUGUUAUUUAUACAGUAAAUGGAUAUGUAUUAUAACUUUUUAGAAUAUAGGUUUGUUACAACUUCAUGUGCUGUUCACCUCUCUGACAAGUGUACAUUUUAUACGCUUUCAAGACAUUUGAAAGUUUUAUAUGUUUUGUUUGUCCAUUUUUCUUUUAUAACCAUGUUUGUAGAUACUUUUUUCUCUCUCUCUCUCCUGUCUGUAUUAUGUCUGGGAAUGUUUGAUACUAUGGAAACUUGGUGCAAGCUUUGGCUCUGAAAGGCUCCAUAUCUGUAACCUGAUAGCUUGCAACACCGACUCUAUUUCAAUUCCAUCAAUUCCACAAGUAAUUUUUUUUUUGGAUUGCUUCAUUGAAUAAGAACAUUAUUUUUUAAUAAGUUAAUUAUAAGAAGACAGUUUUGAUACUUUUUCUAAUUGAAUUUCAUUGAAACUGAUUUCCUAAAUUGACGGAAUUAAAGCAGGAUUGUCCCCACACAAUUUUAGCAGAGAAGUAUCAGAAGGUACAAACAGCUCUUUAUAAUCUGUCAUGUUGUCUCAUCAUCAAUAGGCUGAACUUGCUCCAGUGUCUUAUGCAAACUACUGAGGUUGUCCUGCUCCAUGUUACUGCAGGAGGGACAGUGCUAUAAGCUACCAUUACUGUUAAAACACACACACACUUUGUAACAACUAACAGACAUACUCAUACUGUAUCUUAUUGUAGACUUUUUUCUUCUUUUUUUUCACAAGGCCAUGUUAUCAGACUCUUAGGUGAUUGUGAAAUCAGACCUACAUAGCUAUGUCCCGUCUAGAUUGCCGGGUAACAGUGGUUAUGUGAUGUCCCUUCCUGCUCUGUCUGAGCACACCAUUGUUGAGAGGUGUUCCAGCUGUGAAAACUGAGAAAUAAAGACUUCAGUCGAGUAAA